rnacentral:rRNA from 1 species
CCCGCUGAACUUAAGCAUAUCAAUAAGCGGAGGAAAAGAAACUAACAAGGAUUCCCCUAGUAACUGCGAGUGAAGCGGGAAAAGCUCAAAUUUAAAAUCUGGCGUGCCUUUGGUCGUCCGAGUUGUAGUCUGGAGAAGUGUUUUCCGCGUUGGACCGUGUACAAGUCCCUUGGAACAGGGCAUCAUAGAGGGUGAGAAUCCCGUCUUUGACACGGACUACCAGUGCUUUGUGAUGCGCUCUCAAAGAGUCGAGUUGUUUGGGAAUGCAGCUCAAAAUGGGUGGUAAAUUCCAUCUAAAGCUAAAUAUAGGCGAGAGACCGAUAGCGAACAAGUACCGUGAGGGAAAGAUGAAAAGCACUUUGGAAAGAGAGUUAAACAGUACGUGAAAUUGCUGAAAGGGAAACGCUUGAAGUCAGUCGCAUCUGCUGGGACUCAGCCUUGCUUCAUUGCUUGGUGCACUUUCCAGUUUGAUGGGCCAGCAUCGAUUUUAACCAUUGGAAAAAGGUGGAGGGAAUGUGGCACCUUUGGGUGUGUUAUAGACCUCUAUCAUAUACAAUGGUUGGAAUCGAGGAUCGCAGCACGCCUUUAUGGCCGGGGUUCGCCCACGUACGUGCUUAGGAUGCUGGCGUAAUGGCUUUAAGCGACCCGUCUUGAAACACGG